CGGGGUGCAGCAGGCGCGAAAACUUUGCAAUGCGGGAAACCGUGACAAGGGAACUCUGAGUGCCCGUUAAAUCGGGCUGUCCAUCGGUUUAAAUAACCGGUGAAGAAAGGGCCGGGCAAGACCGGUGCCAGCCGCCGCGGUAAUACCGGCGGCUCGAGUGGUGGCCACUAUUACUGGGCUUAAAGCGUUCGUAGCUGGUUUGUUAAGUCUCUGGGGAAAUCUUCCGGCUUAACCGGAAGGCGUCUCAGGGAUACUGGCAGACUAGGGACCGGGAGAGGUGAGAGGUACUCCAGGGGUAGGAGUGAAAUCCUGUAAUCCUUGGGGGACCACCUGUGGCGAAGGCGUCUCACCAGAACGGCUCCGACAGUGAGGGACGAAAGCUGGGGGAGCAAACCGGAUUAGAUACCCGGGUAGUCCCAGCUGUAAACGAUGCGCGUUAGGUGUAUCGGUGACCACGAGUCACCGAGGUGCCGAAGAGAAAUCGUGAAACGUGCCGCCUGGGAAGUACGGUCGCAAGGCUGAAACUUAAAGGAAUUGGCGGGGGAGCACAAGGGCGAUUCGCGG
rnacentral:rRNA from 1 species